rnacentral:rRNA from 1 species
UACGAGUGCCCCAAGCGUUAUCCGGAAUUAUUGGGCGUAAAGGGUGUGUAGGUGGUUUUGUUAGUCUUCUGUAAAAUCCUUCGGCUCAACCGAAGAACGUCGAUCGAAACUGCCGUUCUUGAGGAUUGCAGAGGAGACUGGAAUUCCCGGUGUAGCGGUGAAAUGUGUAGAGAUCGGGAGGAACACCGGUGGCGAAGGCGGGUCUCUGGGCAAUUCCUGACGCUGAGGCGCGAAAGCGUGGGGAGCAAACGGG